GGAAGUAAAAGUCGUAACGAGGUUUCCGUAGGUGAACCUGCGGAAGGAUCAUUAUUGGAUUUUGAAACUUCAGGCUGCUGCUGGCUCUCCUCGGAGGGCAUGUGCACGCUUGUUGUCCAUUAUUUCUCCCACUGUGCACAAAUUGUAGACCUUUCAGUAGGCCUAUGUUGUUUUUCACAAUCUCUGAAUGUAAUAGAAUGGUUUUGAAUCUUGGGAAAUACAAUACAACUUUCAGCAACGGAUCUCUUGGCUCUC
rnacentral:misc_RNA from 1 species